rfam:Clostridium sp. CAG:230 genomic scaffold, scf180
AAGAUUCUUCGGGGCGGGGUGCGAUUCCCCACCGGCGGUAUUCCUGUAAAGGUAAGCCCGCGAGCCGAAAGGCAUGAUUUGGUGUGAUUCCAAAGCCGACAGUACAGUCUGGAUGAGAGAAGAUUACA